UCUACAGAACACUAUGGCGAG
rnacentral:piRNA from 1 species